rnacentral:rRNA from 1 species
GGCAACAGCUCAAAUUUGAAAUCUGGCUCUUUUAGAGUCCGAGUUGUAAUUUGCAGAGGGCGCUUUGGCUUUGGCAGCGGUCCAAGUUCCUUGGAACAGGACGUCACAGAGGGUGAGAAUCCCGUACGUGGUCGCUGGCUAUUGCCGUGUAAAGCCCCUUCGACGAGUCGAGUUGUUUGGGAAUGCAGCUCUAAAUGGGAGGUACAUUUCUUCUAAAGCUAAAUAUUGGCCAGAGACCGAUAGCGCACAAGUAGAGUGAUCGAAAGAUGAAAAGCACUUUGGAAAGAGAGUCAAACAGCACGUGAAAUUGUUGAAAGGGAAGCGCUUGCAGCCAGACUUGCUUACAGUUGCUCAUCCGGGUUUCUACCCGGUGCACUCUUCUGUAGGCAGGCCAGCAUCAGUUUGGGCGGUAGGAUAAAGGUCUCUGUCACGUACCUCCUUUCGGGGAGGCCUUAUAGGGGAGACGACAUACUACCAGCCUGGACUGAGGUCCGCGCAUCUGCUAGGAUGCUGGCGUAAUGGCUGUAAGCGGCCCGUCUUGAAACACGGACCAAGGAGUCUAACAUCUAUGCGAGUGUUUGGGUGUCAAGCCCGAGCGCGUAAUGAAAGUGAACGGAGGUGGGAACCCGCAAGGGUGCACCAUCGACCGAUCCUGAUGUCUUCGGAAGGAUUUGAGUAAGAGCAUGGCUGUUGGGACCCGAAAGAUGGUGAACUAUGCUUGAAUAGGGUGAAGCCAGAGGAAACUCUGGUGGAGGCUCGCA